rnacentral:rRNA from 1 species
UACGAAGGGUGCAAGCGUUAAUCGGAAUUACUGGGCGUAAAGGGUGCGUAGGCGGUUGUUUAAGUCUGUUGUGAAAUCCCCGGGCUCAACCUGGGAAUGGCGAUGGAUACUGGACAGCUAGAGUGUGUCAGAGGAUGGUGGAAUUCCCGGUGUAGCGGUGAAAUGCGUAGAGAUCGGGAGGAACAUCAGUGGCGAAGGCGGCCACCUGGGACAACACUGACGCUGAAGCACGAAAGCGUGGGGAGCAAACAGG